rnacentral:lncRNA from 1 species
GAAAGGCUCCAGAUCUGUUCAGUCAUGAAGGUCAUAGUUGCAGGAGUUAGAAAAGAAGUCUGAGCCCUGGGCCUGAUGGACAUCAGAGAACACUCCUGGAGACAAAAAAAAGCAAGAGGCUGUCAUGACACAUGGAGAACUUGGUAAACGACAUGCAGAAGCUCUCUUCAGAAAGGAGGCAGGCAGCAGCUUUCCAGGUUGGUGCCUUUGCUGCGUGCAGCAGCUGCCCCUCUUUUUCCCCACUGAGACACCUGAUUGCAGCCCCAACCUCAGCAGCAGGACAGACAUCUGAGCAUCUCAGGUGAGCUGUGGGGUCUGUGGUGGGUGCACUUAGGCUGUCAUUAGUAAAUUAUUUAUGUCAACAAAAUUCUGUCAGGUACAAACAGAAAAAAGGCUAAAAAAUGAAAAGUCAAUGCUUCUUGUUAGAGACCCACAAAACAUGAAUUUUGGUUUCAGUUCAGCUUUUGGGUUUCAGAACCAUGCCUAAUGACCUGAAUAAUGCAUUAACUUUUGCCCUGUAGGUAGAUCUAAAAUCCAAACUUGCUACUCAGGAGGAAGCACUGCAACUGAAAAAUCGAGAUACUGAAGCUUUGAUUGCCAUGAUAGGGUUUCAGACUGAGAAACUGAGCCAAGAAAAGGCCAUUGCAGAUGCAGACGAGCUAAAGGUGUAUUGUGAGAGAGAACCAAAAUAUUGUGUGCUGGCUCAGGCUAACACUGAAUUAGCAGCAGCUACAGGAAAACUAGAAGUCAGCAGGAAAAAGUUUCUUUCCAAAAACCUGUUGGAGACAGUCCAUUGA